UAAUAGCUCACUAGUCGAGAGGUCCUGCGCCGAAAAUGUCCGGGGCUGAAACACAACACCGAAGCUUAGGAAUGUAUGUAAGUACAUUGGUAGAGGAGCAUUCUUAAAGGGGUGAAGCAGUACCGAUAAGGAGCUGUGGACUUUUAAGAAGAGAGAAUGCCGGAAUGAGUAGCGAGAUGGAGGUGGGAAUCCUCCAGGCCGAAUAUCCAAGGUUUCCAGAGUAAAGCUGAUCUGCUCUGGGUAAGUCGGGGCCUAAGGCGAGGUCGAAAGACGUAGUCGAUGGAUAACAGGUUGAAAUUCCUGUACUAUCCUGUAACAGAACUGUGGGGACGCAGACAGAGAGCACAAGCCGGGAAUGGAAAGACCGGUGCAAGCGAGGUAGGAGUACAUCAGGCAAAUCCGGUGUGCAAUCCGAAGACGUGAUGCGGAUCGAAAAGAAGUAGAGAAGUGUGUGAGCUGGCUGCCAAGAAAAGCCGCUAUUGUUUACAGGAUACCCGUACCGUAAACCGACACAGGUGGAUGAGGAGAGAAUCCUAAGGCCGACGGGAGAAGCAUUGUUAAGGAACUCGGCAAAAUGACUCCGUAACUUCGGGAGAAGGAGUGCCAUGCGAAUGGCCGCAGAGAAUUGGCCCAAGCAACUGUUUAGCAAAAACACAGGUCUAUGCGAAACCGAAAGGUGAGGUAUAUGGGCUGACGCCUGCCCGGUGCUGGAAGGUUAAGGGGAGAGGUUAGCGCAAGCGAAGCUUUGAACUUAAGCCCCAGUAAACGGCGGCCGUAACUAUAACGGUCCUAAGGUAGCGAAAUUCCUUGUCGGGUAAGUUCCGACCCGCACGAAAGGCGUAAUGAUUUGGGCACUGUCUCAACAAUGCACCCGGUGAAAUUGAAAUACCAGUGAAGAUGCUGGUUACCUGCGCCAGGACGGAAAGACCCCAUGGAGCUUUACUCCAGCUUGAUACUGGGAUUCGAUAUUGCAUGUACAGGAUAGGUGGGAGACUAGGAAGUGGUGACGCCAGUUGCCAUGGAGUCAAUGUUGGGAUACCACCCUUGCAGUAUUGGGUUUCUAACCAGCAGCCGUGAUCCGGCUGGGGGACAAUGUCAGGUGGGGAGUUUGACUGGGGCGGUCGCCUCCGAAAGGGUAUCGGAGGCGCUCAAAGGUUCCCUCAGAAUGGUUGGAAACCAUUCGAAGAGUGCAAAGGCAGAAGGGAGCUUGACUGCGACACCGACGGGUGGAGCAGGUACGAAAGUAGGACUUAGUGAUCCGGUGGUAUAAAGUGGGAUUGCCAUCGCUCAACGGAUAAAAGCUACCCUGGGGAUAACAGGCUUAUCACUCCCAAGAGUUCACAUCGACGGAGUGGUUUGGCACCUCGAUGUCGGCUCAUCGCAUCCUGGGGCUGAAGUAGGUCCCAAGGGUUGGGCUGUUCGCCCAUUAAAGCGGUACGCGAGCUGGGUUCAGAACGUCGUGAGACAGUUCGGUCCCUAUCCGGCGUGGGCGUAGGAUAUUUGAGAGGAGCUGCCCUUAGUACGAGAGGACCGGGGUGGACUGGCCGCUGGUGGAUCUGUUGUAUUACCAAAUGCAUAGCAGAGUAGCCAAGCCGGGACGGGAUAAACGCUGAAGGCAUCUAAGCGUGAAGCCCCCCUCAAGAUGAGAUAUCCCAUAACGUCAAGUUAGUAAGACCCCUUGAAGACGACGAGGUAGAUAGGGCAGAGGUGGAAGUGCGGUAACGCAUGGAGCUGACUGUUACUAAUAGGUCGAGGGCAUAACCAA
rnacentral:rRNA from 1 species